AAGUUAUUAAACGAAAACCUAUUAGGACGGUGGUCAUGGAAGUUGAAAGCCACUAAGGAUUGUGUAGCAACUUUUCUGCCAAACCAACUAGCCCUGAAAAUGGAUGGUGCCUAA
rnacentral:ncRNA from 1 species